rnacentral:lncRNA from 1 species
CUUGUUAGAGAGAAUUAGGCGGGUUAACCAAGCUAUCAGUACAUCAUAAGCUUUUGCAGAGCUAAUUGUGACGCGAUACACAGCAGCUCCCUGUGAACCAUUUUCAUUUCCAACAUGUUGAAAAGUACCUGUAACAGAAGCCUGGAUUUGAACUGGAUAAGAGUUGAGAUUGCCAGAUCCAACAACUCCUUGCCAAUCUUUGGAAAUCUGAUAUGCGAUGGGUGAGCUAGUAAUAUUUUUAACACGACCAUUGGUGGUGGCGUUUUGAGCCAUGUCAGUGAGCUUUAGUUAAUCUUCUUCCUAAUAGGUGUUGUGUUUG